GUGCAGUAUCGACACUGUCGAAUAAAGUUCUAGGUAGAAUUUUGAUAAUGACAUUAUCUAUCUAUAUGUCUUGACCAAAUCAUGUGCCAGCAGUCGCGGUAAGACAUGGGAGACUAGUGUUAUUCAUCUUUAACAGGUUUAAAGGGUACUUAGACGGUUGAUUAAGCCCGUAAGGGUACUAAUGAACUAGAGUUUUAUGUGAGAAGGGGUGUACUAAAGAGUGUAGAGAUGAAAUUCAGUCAUACCUAAUUGGAACAGGCAACGGCGAAAGCGACCUUUUAUGUAAAAACUGACGUUGAAAGACGAAGGCCUUGGGACACCAACAGGAUUAGAUACCCCAGCAGUCCAGGCAGACAAUGAUGAAUGUCAUAGAUUAGAAAUAUAUUUUAUUCUAUAAAUGAAAGUGUAAGCAUUCCACCUCAAGAGUAAUGUGGCCACGCAGGAACUGAAAUCAUUAGACCGUUUCUGAAACCAGUAGUGAAGUAUGUUGUUUAAUUUGAUGAUCCGCAAAACACCUUACCACAAUUUGAAUAUUUUAUCUAGUAAAAAAAGAAAGUUGAAAAAUAAGAUUAAAAAAAGUUGACAAGUAGAUUUUUUUUUUUAUUUAUAAAAAUACAGGCGCUGCACGGCUGUCUUCAGUUCAUGUCGUGAGAUUUUGGUUAGUUCCAUUAAAUUUACGUAAACCCUUACUUUAUUUAUUAUUAUAGAGUAGCUCCCCAUUAUAUUGGAUGAGAUAAAAGGGACUAAGGCAAGUCAAUAUGGCCUUAAUAUUGUGGGCUAUA
rnacentral:rRNA from 1 species